rnacentral:rRNA from 1 species
CCUCGGGAGGCUGCAGUGAGGAAUUUUCCGCAAUGGGCGAAAGCCUGACGGAGCGACGCCGUGUGUGCGACGAAAUCCUUCGGGAUGUAAAGCACUGUCAGUGGGGACGAUAUUGACGGUACCCACAGAGGAAGGCCCGGCUAACUACGUGCCAGCAGCCGCGGUAAUACGUAGGGGCCAAGCGUUGUCCGGAAUCAUUGGGCGUAAAGGGCGCGUAGGCGGUUUUGUAAGUCAGAUGUUAAAUCCACAGGCUCAACCUGUGUCCGCAUCUGAUACUGCAUUACUAGAGAAUAGUAGAGGAAAGCGGAACUUCCAGUGUAGCGGUGAAAUGCGUAGAUAUUGGAAGGAACACCAGUGGCGAAGGCGGCUUUCUGGACUAUUUCUGACGCUGAGGCGCGAAAGCUAGGGGAGCAAACGGGAUUAGAUACCCCUGUAGUC